rnacentral:snRNA from 1 species
AAACAAAACAUAAAUUUUUAAAA